UACGGAGGGUGCAAGCGUUUAUCCGGAUUCACUGGGUUUAAAGGGUGCGUAGGUGGCUUUGUAAGUCAGUGGUGAAAUGCCGCAGCUCAACUGCGGAACUGCCAUUGAUACUGCUUAGCUUGAAUCACGUCGAGGUGGAUGGAAUAUUACAUGUAGCGGUGAAAAUGCUUAGAUAUGUAAUAGAACACCGAUUGCGAAGGCAGUUCACUAGGCGUGUAUUGACACUGAGGCACGAAAGCGUGGGGGAUCAAACAGG
rnacentral:rRNA from 1 species